UGUAAUGUGACCUAUUAACUGCGAUGCUAAUUACUUUACUCUAUUUGCCUAACAUGUUCUUAUUCUCCAACACCAAAAACACUGAAUGUUGUAUUAACAGGUAAUGUGUGAUUCCAAACGUAAAUAUAUAUAUAUA